UGGGGAAUAUUGCACAAUGGAGGGAACUCGGAUGCAGCGACGCCGCGGGAACGAAGAAGGCUUUCGAGUCGUAAAGUUCUUUCAUAUGGGAAGAUAAUGACGGUACCAUAAGAAAAAGCCCCGGCUAACUACGUGCCAGCAGCCGCGGUAAUACGUAGGGGGCUAGCGUUGUCCGGAAUCACUGGGCGUAAAGGGUUCGCAGGCGGAAAUGCAAGUCAGGUGUAAAAGGCAGUAGCUUAACUACUGUAAGCAUUUGAAACUGCAUAUCUUGAGAAGAGUAGAGGUAAGUGGGAUUUUUAGUGUAGCGGUGUAAUGCGUAGAUAUUAAAAAGAAUACCAGUGGCGAAGGCGACUUACUGGGCUCAUUCUGACGCUGAGGAACGAAAGCGUGGGUAGCCAACAGG
rnacentral:rRNA from 1 species